rnacentral:rRNA from 1 species
GUCAUGGCUCAGGAUGAACGCUAGCUACAGGCUUAACACAUGCAAGUCGAGGGGCAUCAGGAAGAAAGCUUGCUUUCUUUGCUGGCGACCGGCGCACGGGUGAGUAACACGUAUCCAACCUGCCCUUUACUCGGGGGUAGCCUUUCGAAAGAAAGAUUAAUACCCGAUAGCAUAAUGAUUCCGCAUGGUUUCAUUAUUAAAGGAUUCCGGUAAAGGAUGGGGAUGCGUUCCAUUAGGUUGUUGGUGAGGUAACGG